rnacentral:rRNA from 1 species
AUUGAACGCUGGCGGCAGGCCUAAAACAUGCAAGUCGAGCGAGAGGCGGACGGGUGAGUAAUGUCUGGGAAACUGCCUGUUGGAGGGGGAUAACUACUGGAAACGGUAGCUAAUACCGCAUACCAUCAGAUGUGCCCAUAUGGGAUUAGCUAGUAGGUGUGGUAACGGCUCACCUAGGCGACGCUCCCUAGCUGGUCUGAGAGGAUGACCAGCCACACUGGAACUGAGACACGGUCCCGACUCCUACGGGAGGCAGCAGUGGGGAAUAUUGCACAAUGGGCGCAAGCCUGAUGCAGCCAUGCCGCGUGUAUGAAGAAGGCCCUCGGGUUGUAAAGCACUUUCAGCGGGGAGGCGUUACCCGCAGAAGAAGCACCGGCUAACUCCGUGCCAGCAGCCGCGGUAAUUC